GAGCUGAUUGCUACAAGUCCAAGUCAAAAUGAUGACAUUAAGGUGUGUUGUGACUAGAAAAUUGUGACAGGUCCCAAAACUCACAAAUCACAAUCAUCUCUGAGUUGAACACUGAUCUGUAAUAUUCUUCCAAGUCCAAUGAAAGGAAGAGAAGCCAAUUCGACACAAUUAUUCGAUUUGAAUCAACAAACUUGCACCCCCCAUGAUUUGAUUAGAUCUUCACCCACCAUUCGUGAAUAUGUGAUUGAGACAGAUGGGUCGAACUGAACCGGAAUUGGAUAUGUUGUUAGCUAUACAUCAAAUUUUUCACGUGCCUGGAAAGCUUCUCAGAUUUCGUGGAGCUAAGUAGGAUCACAAGAAAGUUCUUUGAAAAACGAGAAACAAAUAAAGAAUAGGAAAGUAAGGAAUCCAAAAAAUAUGUUUGAUUUGUCAAGGUACCAAAGUACGGCGGUGCAAUUAAUCUCCCCUAUCAAAGAUCAGGAAUUUUAAAGCGCCUUUAUUCUGCUAAAAAAAUAGGAAUAAUAAAAGAAAAAGUAAUGGCUGAAUAGAGCAAAGAGAGGUCAGAUGUUCGUUUCACUUUUAUUUAAUGGGAAUCAUUCUGCCUAAAAAAUAUAUCCCAAUGUGAAUCAGUACUUGUUUUGGUUCCAAAAUGAAGUUUCGUGGUUUUCCCUCAACUAGGCCCCUACUCUAUUAUUAUUGACUAAUUAAGGAUUUAGCCCAAUGGACUUGUGACUUUGUUUUUUCUAAUGCAGUUGGUUUCCAUACCCAUAUAUGAAGGAUUAUUUUUCACGUUUUCUUUUGUCUCUUUUAUUCUCGAAUCUGCAUAUAGCCUUGGAAUAUGUAUCCAAGAAUCUGCUACCUUUAAUACGUAUGGUGAACUAAUCAUUUUCUAAAACAACUUUAGUUCCUGUUAAAACAGGCAUCUCUUUUUGGGUUAAUUUGGGCUUGAAAACUGCCACUUGGGCUAUUAUUGUAAACUAAGUUUUGAAAGGAAAGAGUGUUUCGGCCCAAUCGUCUUGGAAGUCUUUUACAAGUUCAGGAGUUGAUCCAACAUUCUUCUAUUUUAUAGCUCAAUGUUAUUGGCUAAACUUAGAACAAUCGCUGGGGAUGAAACAUGUAUUUGUAUAUACAUGAGUAUGUCAAGGGUAAGCACAAUUUUCUUCUUCUUUUUCCCCCUUCAUUCUCUAGCUACUGACAUGCUUCAUUUAUUUAUUAAAAAAAAAAGUCAUUAUAGAAGCAUAUGGUAAUUCCUUUUUCUAUUCUUAUGUGUUAAUUGGAUGACAACACAUACAGAAAAUCUAGAAUUGAGUUUACAUAUUUUCGAAUAUCCACCACAUGGUAUUGUUUUCUAUUUUUUUACAGACAAUCUAAGCAUAUCAUGGCCUAGGAUGAUGUAAUAUUUUUUAUCUUUUUUCUUAUAUAUAUAUAUAAAGAGAACUAUACCAUUUUUUUCCAGUAAUAUUAGGAUAAGAUAAGUUUUAUCCUCUCACCCCUUUUUUCCCUCCAUAUAAAUUUUUAUUUUUCUCAAUUACCAUUUUGUUCUAAUUAUGGUCUUUACUAGCAUUUAGGGUCAACCUUAAAACACAUGGCCAAAUAUUCCACAGCCCAUUGGGCCAUAACCGUAUUUAGCCUAAUGGGCUAUAGCCUUUGUUUCUCAAUUGAUAAAAUAGGAAAAAUGAAAGCCCUAAACUGCAAAUACAGUGGAUUAAUACAAAAGCGUAUGCGUUGACCGUAAAUACCGGGAAAAGGAGUAGGCAACGCCUUCUUUAUCAAUUCGGAGACGGAGAAAAGAAAAAACAAGGACCCAGAGAGGCUUAGGUCAUCCUUCCCCGAAACAUCUUAAACUCCUCGUAAGAAAAAGAAAAGAAAAUUCUUCUAUAACUCUCUCUCUACGAGGUGUUUAAGUAUAUUUAUUCCAUCCAAUUAGAUUUCUUUUUUUAGAUUUGGAUUUUAGGAAUAAUUGUAUAAAUCAAUUGGGAAAAGAAAAAGGAUAAGAGUUGAUGGACGGAAUAAUGAAUAAGCUCAGGAAUUUAGAUGCGUACCCUAAAAUAAACGAGGAUUUCUACAGCCGUACACUCUCCGGUGGCGUUAUCACUCUCGUCUCCUCCGUUGUUAUGUUCUUU
rnacentral:lncRNA from 1 species